GGCUCUGUGGCGCAAUGGAUAGCGCAUUGGACUUCUAGAGUGAUGGAGUGAUUCAAAGGUUGUGGGUUCGAGUCCCACCAUAGUCG
rnacentral:tRNA from 1 species